rnacentral:rRNA from 1 species
CAGUAGCCACGGUAAUACGAAGGGGGCUAGCGUUGCUCGGAAUUACUGGGCGUAAAGGGAGCGUAGGCGGAUCGUUAAGUUGGGGGUGAAAGCCCGGGGCUCAACCUCGGAACUGCCUUCAAUACUGGCGAUCUUGAGUAUGAGAGAGGUGUGUGGAACUCCGAGUGUAGAGGUGAAAUUCGUAGACAUUCGGAAGAACACCAGUGGCGAAGGCGACACACUGGCUCAUUACUGACGCUGAGGCUCGAAAGCGUGGGGAGCAAACAGGAUUAGAUACCCCCGUAGUCCCUGUCUCUUAUAA